UACGUAGGGACCAAGCGUUGUUCGGAUUUACUGGGCGUAAAGGGCGCGUAGGCGGCGUGUUAAGUCAGCUGUGAAAUCUCCAAGCUUAACUUGGAACGGUCAGCUGAUACUGAUGUGCUAGAGUGCAGAAGGGGCAAUCGGAAUUCUUGGUGUAGCGGUGAAAUGCGUAGAUAUCGUAAGGAAGACCAGGGGCGAAGGCGGGUCUCUGGACAGUUCCUGACGCUGAGGCCCGAAGGCCAGGGGAGCAAACGGG
rnacentral:rRNA from 1 species